GAUGAACGCUGGCGGCGUGCUUAACACAUGCAAGUCGAACGAGAAGUGAAGACGGAAACCUUCGGGCGGAAGGCUUUAUUUCGAGUGGCGGACGGGUGAGUAACGCGUGGGUAACCUGCCUCAUACAGGGGGAUAACAGUUGGAAACGACUGUUAAUACCGCAUAAGACCACAGCACCGCAUGGUGCGGGGGUAAAAACUCCGGUGGUAUGAGAUGGACCCGCGUUCGAUUAGCCAGUUGGCGGGGUAACGGCCCACCAAAGCGACGAUCGUUAGCCGAUCUGAGAGGAUGACCGGCCACAUUGGGACUGAGACACGGCCCAAACUCCUACGGGAGGCAGCAGUGGGGAAUAUUGCACAAUGGGGGAAACCCUGAUGCAGCGACGCCGCGUGAGUGAAGAAGUAUUUCGGUAUGUAAAGCUCUAUCAGCAGGGAAGAAAAUGACGGUACCUGAGUAAGAAGCCCCGGCUAACUACGUG
rnacentral:rRNA from 1 species